UGCCCACGUAAGCCAAACCUGAAGAUCUCAGUCUGGAUUCCUCCAUCAGCUCUUGGGAAAGAGCUAGGAAACAAGAACCCAAGUCUGAAACUCUCUGGCUCGAAGCUAGACGCUGCUGCUGCUGAGCUCUCUGCUACCUCCACAGACUCUGGACCCAACCGGUUCCUCCUCUCACGGAUCUGUUAAAACCUCCUCAAGAUAAUAUUGAAACCAGUCCCGGACCUGUACCAGAACCAGAUCUUGAAUCAUUCUGUGUAUUC